rnacentral:rRNA from 1 species
CCUACGGGUGGCAGCAGUGGGGAAUAUUGGACAAUGGGCGAAAGCCUGAUCCAGCCAUGCCGCGUGUGUGAAGAAGGCCUUCGGGUUGUAAAGCACUUUCAGUGGGGAAGAAAGCCUUGGGGCUAAUACCCUCGAGGAAGGACAUCACCCACAGAAGAAGCACCGGCUAACUCCGUGCCAGCAGCCGCGGUAAUACGGAGGGUGCGAGCGUUAAUCGGAAUUACUGGGCGUAAAGCGCGCGUAGGCGGUCUGAUAAGCCGGUUGUGAAAGCCCCGGGCUCAACCUGGGAACGGCAUCCGGAACUGUCAGGCUAGAGUGCAGGAGAGGAAGGUAGAAUUCCCGGUGUAGCGGUGAAAUGCGUAGAGAUCGGGAGGAAUACCAGUGGCGAAGGCGGCCUUCUGGACUGACACUGACGCUGAGGUGCGAAAGCGUGGGUAGCAAACAGGAUUACAUACCCUAGUAGUC